rnacentral:rRNA from 1 species
CCUACGGGUGGCAGCAGUGAGGAAUAUUGGUCAAUGGACGAGAGUCUGAACCAGCCAAGUAGCGUGAAGGAUGACUGCCCUAUGGGUUGUAAACUUCUUUUAUAAAGGAAUAAAACGAGGCACGUGUGCCUUUUUGCAUGUACUUUAUGAAUAAGGAUCGGCUAACUCCGUGCCAGGAGCCGCGGUAAUACGGAGGAUCCGAGCGUUAUCCGGAUUUAUUGGGUUUAAAGGGAGCGUAGAUGGGUUGUUAAGUCAGUUGUGAAAGUUUGGGGCUCAACCGUAAAAUGGCAAUUGAUACUGGCAGUCUUGAGUACAGUUGAGGUAGGCGGAAUUCGUGGUGUAGCGGUGAAAUGCUUAGAUAUCACGAAGAACCCCGAUUGCGAAGGCAGCUUACUAAACUGUGACUGACAUUGAUGCUCGAAAGUGUGGGGAUCAAACAGGAUUAGAUACCCUAGUAGUC